AUGAACGCUAGCUACAGGCUUAACACAUGCAAGUCGAGGGGCAUCAGGAAGAAAGCUUGCUUUCUUUGCUGGCGACCGGCGCACGGGUGAGUAACACGUAUCCAACCUGCCCUUUACUCGGGGAUAGCCUUUCGAAAGAAAGAUUAAUACCCGAUAGCAUAAUGAUUCCGCAUGGUUUCAUUAUUAAAGGAUUCCGGUAAAGGAUGGGGAUGCGUUCCAUUAGGUUGUUGGUGAGGUAACGGCCCACCAAGCCUUCGAUGGAUAGGGGUUCUGAGAGGAAGGUCCCCCACAUUGGAACUGAGACACGGUCCAAACUCCUACGGGAGGCAGCAGUGAGGAAUAUUGGUCAAUGGGCGCUAGCCUGAACCAGCCAAGUAGCGUGAAGGAUGAAGGCUCUAUGGGUCGUAAACUUCUUUUAUAUAAGAAUAAAGUGCAGUAUGUAUACUGUUUUGUAUGUAUUAUAUGAAUAAGGAUCGGCUAACUCCGUGCCAGCAGCCGCGGUAAUACGGAGGAUCCGAGCGUUAUCCGGAUUUAUUGGGUUUAAAGGGAGCGUAGGCGGAUUGUUAAGUCAGUUGUGAAAGUUUGCGGCUCAACCGUAAAAUUGCAGUUGAUACUGGCAGUCUUGAGUGCAGUAGAGGUGGGCGGAAUUCGUGGUGUAGCGGUGAAAUGCUUAGAUAUCACGAAGAACUCCGAUUGCGAAGGCAGCUCACUGGACUGCAACUGACACUGAUGCUCGAAAGUGUGGGUAUCAAACAGGAUUAGAUACCCUGGUAGUCCACACAGUAAACGAUGAAUACUCGCUGUUUGCGAUAUACAGUAAGCGGCCAAGCGAAAGCAUUAAGUAUUCCACCUGGGGAGUACGCCGGCAACGGUGAAACUCAAAGGAAUUGACGGGGGCCCGCACAAGCGGAGGAACAUGUGGUUUAAUUCGAUGAUACGCGAGGAACCUUACCCGGGCUUAAAUUGCAGUGGAAUGAUGUGGAAACAUGUCAGUGAGCAAUCACCGCUGUGAAGGUGCUGCAUGGUUGUCGUCAGCUCGUGCCGUGAGGUGUCGGCUUAAGUGCCAUAACGAGCGCAACCCUUAUCUUCAGUUACUAACAGGUCAUGCUGAGGACUCUGGAGAGACUGCCGUCGUAAGAUGUGAGGAAGGUGGGGAUGACGUCAAAUCAGCACGGCCCUUACGUCCGGGGCUACACACGUGUUACAAUGGGGGGUACAGAAGGCAGCUAGCGGGUGACCGUAUGCUAAUCCCAAAAUCCUCUCUCAGUUCGGAUCGAAGUCUGCAACCCGACUUCGUGAAGCUGGAUUCGCUAGUAAUCGCGCAUCAGCCACGGCGCGGUGAAUACGUUCCCGGGCCUUGUACACACCGCCCGUCAAGCCAUGGGAGCCGGGGGUACCUGAAGUACGUAACCGCAAGGAUCGUCCUAGGGUAAAACUGGUGACUGGGGCU
rnacentral:rRNA from 1 species